GACGGAGGAUGCAAGCGUUAUCCGGAAUCACUGGGCGUAAAGCGUCUGUAGGUGGUUUAAUAAGUCUACUGUUAAAUCUUGAGGCUCAACCUCAAAAUCGCAGUCGAAACUAUUAGGCUAGAGUAUAGUAGGGGUAAAGGGAAUUUCCAGUGGAGCGGUGAAAUGCGUAGAGAUUGGAAAGAACACCGAUGGCGAAGGCACUUUACUGGGCUAUUACUGACACUCAGAGACGAAAGCUAGGGUAGCAAAUGGG
rnacentral:rRNA from 1 species